rnacentral:rRNA from 1 species
UUUGUUUCAGGGUUAUUUGAAUAUCUAUAACAACUAUUUUAAAGCGCCGUGGAUGCCUGACCGUACCGAGGCUAACCCUAAUGAGCUUAAUCAAGAUGAUGCUCGUUAUGGUUUCCGUUGCUGCCAUCUCAAAAACAUUUGGACUGCUCCGCUUCCUCCUGAGACUGAGCUUUCUCGCCAAAUGACGACUUCUACCACAUCUAUUGACAUUAUGGGUCUGCAAGCUGCUUAUGCUAAUUUGCAUACUGACCAAGAACGUGAUUACUUCAUGCAGCGUUACCAUGAUGUUAUUUCUUCAUUUGGAGGUAAAACCUCUUAUGACGCUGACAACCGUCCUUUA